rnacentral:tRNA from 1 species
GGCCGCCUGGCGAAAUGGCAUCGCGUCUGACUACGAUCAGGUAAUCAGGAGAUUGCAGGUUCGACCCCUGCGGUGGUCA